rnacentral:rRNA from 1 species
AUUGAACGCUGGCGGCAGGCUUAACACAUGCAAGUCGAGCGAGCGGCGGACGGGUGAGUAAUGUCUGGGAAACUGCCUGAUGGAGGGGGAUAACUACUGGAAACGGUAGCUAAUACCGCAUACUAUCGGAUGUGCCCAGAUGGGAUUAGCUAGUAGGUGGGGUAAAGGCUCACCUAGGCGACGAUCCCUAGCUGGUCUGAGAGGAUGAUCAGUCACACUGGUACUGAGACACGGCCCAGACCCCUACGGGAGGCAGCAGUGGGGAAUAUUGGACAAUGGGCGAAAGCCUGAUCCAGCCAUGCCGCGUGUGUGAAGAAGGUCUUCGGAUUGUAAAGUACUUUAAGUUGGGAGGCGUUACCAACAGAAUAAGCACCGGCUAACUUCGUGCCAGCAGCCGCGGUAAUAC